AAGACCUAGCAAUAGGUAUGCUUAGGGAAGAGCUUGCGUCACAUUAGUUAGUUGGUGGGGUAAUGGCCUACCAAGACGAUGAUGUGUAGCCGGGCUGAGAGGUCGAACGGCCACAUUGGGACUGAGACACGGCCCAAACUCCUACGGGAGGCAGCAGUAAGGAAUUUUCGGCAAUGGAGGAAACUCUGACCGAGCAAUGCCGCGUGAACGAUGAAGUAUUUCGGUACGUAAAGUUCUUUUAUUAGGGAAGAAAAGAUGGUGGAAAAACCAUUAUGACGGUACCUAAUGAAUAAGCCCCGGCUAACUAUGUGCCAGCAGCCGCGGUAAUACAUAGGGGGCAAGCGUUAUCCGGAAUUAUUGGGCGUAAAGGGUGCGUAGGCGGUUAAAUAAGUUUAUGGUCUAAGUGCAACGCUCAACGUUGUGAUGCUAUAAAAACUGUUUAGCUAGAGUUGGAUAGAGGCAAGUGGAAUUCCGUGUGUAGUGGUAAAAUGCGUAAAUAUACGGAGGAACACCAGAAGCGAAGGCGGCUUGCUGGGUCUUAACUGACGCUGAGGCACGAAAGCGUGGGGAGCAAACAGGAUUAGAUACCCUGGUAGUCCACGCCCUAAACGAUGAGUACUAAACGUUGGAUAAAACCAGUGUUGAAGUUAACACAUUAAGUACUCCGCCUGAGUAGUACGUACGCAAGUAUGAAACUUAAAGGAAUUGACGGGACUCCGCACAAGCGGUGGAUCAUGUUGUUUAAUUCGAAGGUACCCGAAAACCUCACCAGGUCUUGACAUGCUUUUGCAAAGCUGUAGAAAAUACAGUGGAGGGUUAUCAGAAGCCACAGGGUGGGUGGCAUGGUUGUUCGUCCA
rnacentral:rRNA from 1 species